CACGGACACGCUGUCCUCCUGCACAUGCUGAUGAGGCUCGCGGUGGACUUUUCUCCAUCCGCUCACCUGCAGCCGAGGCACCUAAUUAUCCACGACAGAGGCGAUGGAACGUAUUCUUAAAUCAAGUUUGAUCCUUUUAUUUUUUUUUUUACGUUCCACCGCGUUCACAACGACCGCCAAGUGAAAUAAAACCGCUUCGCUUUGUUUUCAUUGCACAGAGAAAAUUAUGGAAUGAGAAAGGAGUGUUGUUUUUCUGUCGCCCCGAGGUGCGGCAGUUAGCUGCAGAAGACCGCACAUCGAACACAACAGCGCACACGAAAGGUCUCAGGGAUGAUUGAGCGUCAAGCAAUCAACAUUUUAAAGCAAUAAACGUUUUCCCCUUUCAGAAUGCGCCUCCACGAAAGAAGUUCAACGGCCGUUAAUCUUCAACCAUGUCUGCCUCGGGGGAUCAGCUGUCAGAGCAGCGCUCGGGCCCCUUUCCACAGCUUUUCUGUAUCGGUGACCGCGGACGGGUCAAACGGCGUUUUCGAGACAUAUUACAGUAACACAACACACAAACGAGACUCCUGACGCUCAGGAACCGCCUUAUCAAACAGCUCUUCUUUAAGUUCUUUAAGUUCUUUGUUCAGAGGAUUUUCAAAGAUGCUUCUUUGUAUCGGCUGCACACCUAAAACACCCACAAUCCUGUGCACACAAUGCAUUUCCUGCAAAUAGGAAGUGUGAAGGUCAUUCAUUUCAUGUCAGGAGUGGGAGACCAAUUAACAGCUCUGGUGAUGUGAUUCAUCACAACUGUAACAAUAAGAGGAAAUAUGGCGUUUGAAGUCGCCGGAGUGUGCGGCGCGUGUGCAGGGAAAAUGGCAAUAAACACCCUUUGAGUGAAGGUGAUAUGGACCGAAGCGGAACCGAGCAAAGGCCAAAACGCUUGGGUGUGGUGCGUCGCUUCCAGCCGUUGAGGGAAGAGUAGCAGAUGCCUCCGAGCACUACUCUGC
ensembl:lncRNA